UAAGUCUGAUGGAGCAUGCCGCGUGAGUGAAGAAGGUUUUCGGAUCGUAAAACUCUGUUGUUGAAGAAGAAUAUAUGUGAGAGUAACUGUUCACGUACUGACGGUAUUCAACCAGAAAGCCACGGCUAACUACGUGCCAGCAGCCGCGGUAAUACGUAGGUGGCAAGCGUUGUCCGGAUUUAUUGGGCGUAAAGAGAAUGUAGGCGGUUUAUUAAGUUUGAAGUGAAAGCCCUCGGCUCAACCGAGGAAGUGCUUCGAAAACUGGUAAACUUGAGUGCAGAAGAGGAAAGUGGAACUCCAUGUGUAGCGGUGGAAUGCGUAGAUAUAUGGAAGAACACCAGUGGCGAAGGCGGCUUUCUGGUCUGUAACUGACGCUGAGAUUCGAAAGCAUGGGUAGCAAACAGGAUUAGAUACCCUGGUAGUCCAUGCCGUAAACGAUGAGUGCUAAGUGUUGGAGGGUUUCCGCCCUUCAGUGCUGCAGCUAACGCAUUAAGCACUCCGCCUGGGGAGUACGAUCGCAAGAUUGAAACUCAAAGGAAUUGACGGGGGCCCGCACAAGCGGUGGAGCAUGUGGUUUAAUUCGAAGCAACGCGAAGAACCUUACCAGGUCUUGACAUACCAUGAAAAGCUUAGAGAUAAGUCUUUCCCUUCGGGGACAUGGAUACAGGUGGUGCAUGGUUGUCGUCAGCUCGUGUCGUGAGAUGUUGGGUUAAGUCCCGCAACGAGCGCAACCCUUAUUAUCAGUUGCCAGCAUUCAGUUGGGCACUCUGGUGAGACUGCCGGUGAUAAACCGGAGGAAGGUGGGGACGACGUCAAAUCAUCAUGCCCCUUAUGACCUGGGCUACACACGUGCUACAAUGGUCGGUACAACGUGCUGCGAACUCGCGAGGGCAAGCAAAUCACUUAAAACCGAUCUCAGUUCGGAUUGUAGGCUGCAACUCGCCUACAUGA
rnacentral:rRNA from 2 species